AGGGUGACCCAGCAACCCGCGUGGAGGACGACAGCCGUAAGGUUGUAAACUCCUGUUCGGGGGGACGAAUAACCGUCGUUUGCAAAGGCGACGGCUUGACGGUACCCUCAGAGAAAGCCCCGGCUAACUACGUGCCAGCAGCCGCGGUAAUACGUAGGGGGCAAACGUUGUCCGGAUUUACUGGGUGUAAAGGGCGCGCAGGCGGGUCGGUCAGUCAGAGGUGAAAGCCCACAGCUUAACUGUGGAACUGCCUUUGAUACUGCCGAUCUUGAGUGCGGGAGAGAGAAGCGGAAUUCCAGGUGUAGUGGUGAAAUACGUAGAUAUCUGGAAGAACACCGGUUGCGAAGGCGGCUUCUUGGACCGACACUGACGCUGAGGCGCGAAAGCGUGGGGAGCGAACAGGAUUAGAUACCCUGGUAGUCCACGCUGUAAACGAUGAAUGUUAGAUGUCGGGGGAUUUUUCCUUCGGCGUCAAAGUUAACGCAUUAAACAUUCCACCUGGGAAGUACGAUCGCAAGGUUGAAACUCAAAGGAAUUGACGGGGGCCCGCACAAGCAGUGGAGCAUGUGGUUUAAUUCGAUGCAACGCGAAGAACCUUACCUAGGCUUGAAAUGUGUUCGAUCGGUCGUGAAAGCGACCUUCCUUCGGGCGGACACACAGGUGCUGCAUGGCUGUCGUCAGCUCGUGCCGCGAGGUGUUGGGUUAAGUCCCGCAACGAGCGCAACCCCUACCAUUAGUUGCCACCGGGUAAUGCCGAGCACUCUAAUGGAACUGCCUACGCAAGUAGUGAGGAAGGUGGGGACGACGUCAAGUCCGCAUGGCCCUUACGCCUAGGGCUACACACGUGCUACAAUGGGCGCAACAAUGGGCAGCGAUACCGCGAGGUGGAGCGAAUCCCUAAAAAGCGUCCUCAGUUCGGAUUGGAGUCUGCAACUCGACUUCAUGAAGUUGGAAUUGCUAGUAAUCGCGUAUCAGCAUGACGCGGUGAUACGUUCCCGGGCCUUGCACACACCGCCCGUCAAGCCAUGGAGCCGGGGGUACCCAAAGAUAGCGACCCAACCUUCGGGAAGGAGCUAUUUAAGGUAAACCGGUAACUGGGGCUA
rnacentral:rRNA from 1 species